rnacentral:rRNA from 1 species
AUUGAACGCUGGCGGCACGCCUAACACAUGCAAGUCGAGCGGCAGCGAGUGCAGUAGCAAUACUGCAUGUCGGCGAGCGGCGGACGGGUGAGUAAAACGUAGGAACUUGCCCUUUAGUGGGGGAUAACCAAUGGAAACGUUGGCUAAUACCGCAUAAACUCGAGAGAGGAAAGCUGCCGUAAGGUGGCGCUAGAGGAGAGGCCUGCGUCUGAUUAGCUAGUUGGUAGGGUAAAAGCCUACCAAGGCAAUGAUCAGUAACUGGUCUGAGAGGACGACC